rnacentral:RNase_P_RNA from 1 species
CGAGUAAGUCAGAUGGUCGCGGGCGUGACCCUGUCACGAACGAGGAAAGUCCGAGCUCCAUAGGGCAAGGUGCUGGAUAAUACCCAGUGGAGGUGACUCCAAGGAAAGUGCAACAGAAAUAUACCGCCAGAGAGAUCUGGUAAGGGUGGAAAGGGGAGGUAAGAGCUCACCAGCAACUAGGCGACUAGUUGGCUCUGUAAACCCCACCUGGAGCAAGACCAAGUAGGGACGAAAAAAGCGGCGGCCCGUCGUGUCCCGUGGUAGGUCGCUUGAAUCUACUGGCAACAGUAGAUCUAGACAGAUGACCAUCAGAUACAGAACUCGGCUUAUAGACUUGCUCGUUUA